CGCGGCCUAUCAGCUUGUUGGUGGGGUAAUGGCCUACCAAGGCGACGACGGGUAGCCGGCCUGAGAGGGCGACCGGCCACACUGGGACUGAGACACGGCCCAGACUCCUACGGGAGGCAGCAGUGGGGAAUAUUGCGCAAUGGGCGAAAGCCUGACGCAGCGACGCCGCGUGAGGGAUGAAGGCCUUCGGGUUGUAAACCUCUUUCAGCAGGGACGAAGCGUAAGUGACGGUACCUGCAGAAGAAGCGCCGGCUAACUACGUGCCAGCAGCCGCGGUAAUACGUAGGGCGCAAGCGUUGUCCGGAAUUAUUGGGCGUAAAGAGCUCGUAGGCGGUUUGUCGCGUCUGUCGUGAAAGCCCACAGCUUAACUGUGGGUCUGCGGUGGAUACGGGCAGACUAGAGGCAGGUAGGGGAGAACGGAAUUCCCGGUGUAGCGGUGAAAUGCGCAGAUAUCGGGAGGAACACCGGUGGCGAAGGCGGUUCUCUGGGCCUGUACUGACGCUGAGGAGCGAAAGCGUGGGGAGCGAACAGGAUUAGAUACCCUGGUAGUCCACGCCGUAAACGUUGGGCGCUAGGUGUGGGGUCCUUCCACGGAUUCCGCGCCGCAGCUAACGCAUUAAGCGCCCCGCCUGGGGAGUACG
rnacentral:rRNA from 1 species